UGAGGCUAGAACUCGAUUUGUUCCAAAAAGCGCCACACAAAGGGGCAAAAACAAACCAAGCGGGCAAGGCUGAAGCGGCACGGAUCCCGCGAACCGGUUGAGCACUCACUUCAAUGUGAGCGACCCCCCCCACCCCGGUCGCCAUACUAGCACUAAAUACUAACUACCCCGCUCCUCUUGCCUUACCCCCUCCCCCUCUCCAGCCGCGGCCCCGCAGUGCAGCGCGCGCCGCACACGCGGCUCUGGUGCCGCUGCGACCGUUUAAAUUCAAACUCCAGAGCCUCAACGGCAGGGUCGCCACUCGACCCUCCGGGGUGGGGGAAGGGAGAAAAGGAAAAGAAAGAGGGAGGACAAGAGAGAAAAGACUCUACGCUAACAUCACCUCGAGAUGCGCGGCGGACAGGCUAGGCCCACUCAAACAUGUGGCUUUUUGUUCUGAAUAACUUUGGGGAGGCGUGGGUCCAAGGGAGGGGAAAGGCGGGGGAUACGAAGUAAAGGAAGUGAGCACCUCCCCUCCCGACCCCACAAAACGAGAGUGGGAGACACCAAACGGAGUCAGAAUGAAGAAAGACUUAGAGGCAACGGAGCAAUAGGCGGCGAAGACCUUUUAAGUCUGAACCACCCCCGCUAUUACCUCUACCUCUCCGUACCUUCACCCUUUAAGAAGGCCCCGCUUUGUGACGCGGCCGAGCAUCCCUGACGACCCCAUGUUGAACCGACUUAGGCACCCGGACCCGACGCCGUGGCUCUGCCUCCCUUUCCCCACUUAAAAAAGUGAAAAGAAAAAGCCCGCCCCUCUCCGUUCGUGGAAAUAGCGACGGCGCCAACUCCAAAAAAAAUAAAUAAAUAAACAAGCCAGUAAGCGGACAGGCAGCGAGAACGCUGAGCGCGGAGCAAGCAGGCCCAGGCUGCAAGGAAAACCUGGAAAGGAGGAAAGAAAGAGAGAAGGCCACGAGGAACAAAACCGUCAAAGAAAGAAGAUUAUAUAGCCGAGCGAAAUGGAAAGGGCAGAAGCGAGUUCCCAACACACAUACAUACCAACACCAAGAGGACAAGCGGACGGGCAUUCAAGAAAUGCUGCCCUGCCAGCUACAGCAACUUCAUGAGAAAGAGUCACAGACAUCUGAAUAAGAAUCAUAUCACUUGAACCGAAACUUAUGGGCAUCAACGCAGCAGGUGUCAGUGGGAUGUUCACAACCCCUAAAGAGAAACUGGUUGCUCCAACAGAAAGGACUCUUCCACCUCUGAGCACGUGAAUUCUCAGAGGAAAUAUUGGUAAGACUGCCUCUCCCACCCUCUGCCAGUUCAGGUACUGGCAGCUUGGUGGGAACAUCAAGUGUCGAAUAGGUGGCAGCAUCAGCUGGUGAGCAGCUGAGGACAAAAACUUCAUACCUGGAUAAGGAAGAAAUGCUGAGCACCUCUGGCAUUCAGAGGACUUGAAUGCACAUGCUCAAACCCAGGACUGUGUGAUGUUAGCAACUGAGGUCUUGGUCCAAGCACAGGAGCAACAGACAAGUAUGUGGGAGGUGUGGGAGAAAUCUUGAUUAUGUUUAAACAAAAUGUCAGCAGUUGAAUGUAUAUUGUACAAGGUACUUGAGUAGAAACUGUGUAGCUGCAGAAAGCAUGGGCAGAAUGCUCCAACAAAAGGCAGGACUGACCACUAAAAUGGCAAGAACCCUGGUGCUUGAAUAAGAUGAAUGGGUGAAAGUGAGAGGAUGGGAGCAGGUAUAAAAGUAUAAAUAUGUAAGGCCCGUGUGGGCAGUUAGAAUCAGAAGGAA